UUAAGUUUAGCGGGUAUCCCUACCUGAUCUGAGGUUAAAUUCAUGGGGGUAGCUUCUGGGAGCUGAUCUGUCGGGCCUGAGUUCGCGUUUCUGCUGCGCUCGAAGCUAACGUGCCGGCCGCUAAUAGAUUUGAGGCGAGUCCGCGCCGUGAGGCAGGACAGACGCCCAACACUAAGCAGAGCUUGAAGGUUUGAAUGACG
rnacentral:misc_RNA from 1 species